CUUGUACACACCGCCCGUCACACCAUGGAGCGGGUUCUGCCAGAAGUAGUUAGCCUAACCGCAAGGAGGGCGAUUACCACGGCAGGGUUCGUGACUGGGGUG
rnacentral:rRNA from 1 species